rnacentral:rRNA from 1 species
GACGAACGCUGGCGGCGUGCUUAACACAUGCAAGUCGAACGGUGAAGCGCCUUCCUUUUUGGUGGGUGUGGAUGAGUGGCGAACGGGUGAGUAACACGUGAGUAACCUGCCCCCUUCUUCUGGAUAACCGCAUGAAAGUGUGGCUAAUACGGGAUAUUCUGGGUCUGUCGCAUGAUGGGUCUGGGAAAGAUAUUGUUUCGGUGGGGGAUGGGCUCGCGGCCUAUCAGCUUGUUGGUGGGGUGAUGGCCUACCAAGGCGGUGACGGGUAGCCGGCCUGAGAGGGUGGACGGUCACACUGGGACGGAGACACGGCCCAGACUCCUACGGGAGGCAGCAGUGGGGAAUAUUGCACAAUGGGCGAAAGCCUGAUGCAGCGACGCCGCGUGAGGGAUGGAGGCCUUCGGGUUGUGAACCUCUUUCGCCAGUGAAGCAGGCCUGCCUCGUUUGUGGGUGGGUUGACGGUAGCUGGAUAAGAAGCGCCGGCUAACUACGUG